GAUGAACGCUAGCUACAGGCUUAACACAUGCAAGUCGAGGGGUAACGAGAGGAAAGCUUGCUUUCCUUGUCGACGACCGGCGCACGGGUGAGUAACGCGUAUCCAACCUGCCCCCAACUAGGGAAUAACCUUGCGAAAGUAAGACUAAUACCCUAUAAUUUCCUCAGAUGUCAUCUGACGAGGAAUAAAGAUUUAUCGGUUGUGGAUGGGGAUGCUUCUGAUAGCUUGUUGGCGGGGUAACGGCCCACCAAGGCAACGAUAAGUAGGGGUUCUGAGAGGAAGGUCCCCCACAUUGGAACUGAGACACGGUCCAAACUCCUACGGGAGGCAGCAGUGAGGAAUAUUGGUCAAUGGGCGGAAGCCUGAACCAGCCAAGUAGCGUGCAGGAUGACGGCCCUAUGGGUUGUAAACUGCUUUUAUACAGGAAUAAAGUUAGCCACGUGUGGUUAUUUGUAGGUACUGUAUGAAUAAGGACCGGCUAAUUCCGUGCCAGCAGCCGCAGUAA
rnacentral:rRNA from 1 species